rnacentral:rRNA from 1 species
UACGUAGGGGGCAAGCGUUGUCCGGAUUUAUUGGGCGUAAAGAGCGUGUAGGCGGUCAGGUAGGUCCGUUGUGAAAACUCGAGGCUCAACCUCGAGACGCCGAUGGAAACCAUCUGACUAGAGUCCGGAAGAGGAGAGUGGAAUUCCUGGUGUAGCGGUGAAAUGCGUAGAUAUCGGGAGGAACACCAGUGGCGAAGGCGACUUCCUGGCCUGUUCUUGACGCUGAGGCGCGAAAGCUAGGGUAGCAAACGGG